GGGAAGUUAGCUCAGUGUUAGAGUGCUUGCCUUGCAUGCCUGAGGCCCUGGGUUCGAUUCCUAGGCACCACA
rfam:Dipodomys ordii contig_655, whole genome shotgun sequence.